rnacentral:rRNA from 1 species
UUGAAUAUAAAGAAAAGACGAACAGCUCAGUAACUCUUAUUUUAUUUGAUGUAUUAGGAUUAUAACUAUGUUAAAUUAUAGAUAACAAUAAUACAAUAAGAAUAAGAUCUAUCAGUUAGUUGUUAAGGUAAUGGCUUAACAAGACUAUGACGGAUAACGGUAUUACUUUGUAAUAUUCCGGAGAAGGAGCCUGAGAGAUUGCUACUAAGUCUAAGGAUUGCAGCAGGGGCGAAACUUGACCUAUGAUAUGAUAUUGAGGCAGUUAUGAGUAGUAUUUUUAAUUAUUGUAGUAUUGUAAGUAUAUACUACAAGAUAAAUCGGAGGGCAAAUCGAGUGCCAGCAGCCGCGGUAAUACUUGUUCCGAUAGUGUGUAUGAUGAUUGAUGCAGUUAAAAAGUCUGUAGUUUAUGAUUAAUAAGCAUUGUGAGGUAUAUUGUAUGGUUAGGAGAGAGAUGAAAUGUGAUAACCCUAACUGGAUGAACAGAAGCGAAAGCUAUAUACUUAAAUGUAUUAUUAGAACAAGGACGUAAGCUAGAGGAUCGAAGAUGAUUAGAUACCAUUGUAGUUCUAGCAGUAAACUAUGUUAAAUCAUAGAUACAUUUUAAUAUGUAUUUAUGUAAAGAAAUUAAGAUUAUAUUGACUCUGGGGAUAGUAUGAUCGCAAGAUUGAAAAUUAAAGAAAUUGACGGAAGAAUACCACAAGGAGUGGAUUGUGCGGCUUAA